rnacentral:rRNA from 1 species
GACGUAGGGUGCGAGCGUUGUCCGGAUUUAUUGGGCGUAAAGAGCUCGUAGGCGGCUCGUCGCGUCGACCGUGAAAACCCGCGGCUUAACUGCGGGCUUGCGGUUGAUACGGGCGGGCUAGAGUUCGGUAGGGGAGACUGGAAUUCCUGGUGUAGCGGUGAAAUGCGCAGAUAUCAGGAGGAACACCAGUGGCGAAAGCGGCUCUCUGGGGACCACCUGACGCUGAGGCGCGAAAGCGUGGGGAGCGAACCGG